UGUAAAAUGACGGCAUGUCAACAACACUCUACUACAACAACUCUUCCUCUUCUCUAAAGCAGCCCAACAUGGCCCGCCCCCUUUGUUGAGUGUUCUCGGGGGCGGGGUUUAUGUAAAGCGCAUUGAGAUAAGAAAAUAUCUUGAACUAUGAGCGUCGUAACUUUGCAGAUGUUGUUUAUGCUCAAACAGCAAUAUUACACACUAACUAAAGUUAAAAAAGUGAAAUCAUAAUCAACCACGCCUUUAAACUAAUAUGUUGUCAGCAAGUUGUUGUUCGUAAAUGUAUUUAAAUAUAUUAAAUAAUUAAGACAUUACUAACAGGUAAAGUAAAUAUAAUGAAUAUAAGCUAAUAUAGUGCAUAUAUUUAGUGAAAUGGUCCUCUAGAGUUCAUUUCUCCAGUGAACUAACAUGCUGUGGACACUAAAUGACUUGCCUGAGGUAAAUGUAAUGCUGUGUGAGAUAUUCUCAAGCUGUUUUAGAGAUUACAUGUAAACAUUUCUAUACAUAGAUCAUCUGUUCUUCUUCUGCUCUUUUUUCCUGUUGUGACAGUUAGCAAACAGCAUUGCAUUACCAUACGCGCCCCCUUCUGGAUUUUAGUGUGAAUCACCUGUGACUGAUUGUACUCGUCGUCUGACUGUAUGCACUAAACUGUGACGUCCAAACCAUGAAAGUUCAGGAUGAAUACAUAUACUGUUACACCCCUAGUAAAUACACAAGACAAGAGAUGAACUCAGCAGAGUGGCUUUAUUGCACAGAUGGUGACUGGAGGACAUGACUUUCACUCAAACUCAAAGAUUCAAAGAAGAAAUGUCCAUGUUGCAAAAAGGUAAUCCAUCUGUCA